AUCAUUUCACCCCUCUAAUUAUCGAAACUGAUUCACAGGUACUGCUUGAUUUAUUACGCUCGAAUAACCCAAAGUAUCUCACUAUUUUAUCUACCUGCAGAGACCUGUUGGCUGAGUUGUCGGGCACUGAACUUCGCCACAUCUAUAGGACUACAAAUACUAUGGCAGAUGCACUGGCGAAGCAUGGCAAGUCCUUAACUUACUCUUCAGUUUAUGACCUUACCACCUAUGUAUCCCCCCCCCCUCUUUUUAUUCCCUAUGUCCCUAGUACUUAAAUAAACAUGGUGCAUGUACCCUGCUGC
rnacentral:lncRNA from 1 species